rnacentral:antisense_RNA from 1 species
GCUGGAACCGUCGGUACUUUUAAGGUGAUAAGGGUAUCUGACCAAGAAAGGAUCUCAGCAGAGAUUUCUCCAAAAGUCACUUGACCUUUAGAAUUACCAAAACCUUGACCUGAAAUAGUAAUCUUAU